CCUACGGGUGGCAGCAGUGAGGAAUAUUGGUCAAUGGGCGCGAGCCUGAACCAGCCAAGUAGCGUGAAGGAUGACUGCCCUACGGGUUGUAAACUUCUUUUAUAAAGGAAUAAAGUGAGGCACGUGUGCCUUUUUGUAUGUAUUUUAUGAAUAAGGAUCGGCUAACUCCGUGCCAGCCGCCGCGGUAAUACGGAGGAUCCGAGCGUUAUCCGGAUUUAUUGGGUGUAAAGGGAGCGUAGAUGGGUUGUUAAGUCAGUUGUGAAAGUUUGCGGCGCAACCGUAAAAUUGCAAUUGAUACUGGCAGCCUUGAGUACAGUUGAGGUAGGCGGAGGUCGUGGUGUAGCGGUGAAAUGCUUAGAUAGCACGAAGAACUCCGAUUGCGAAGGCAGCCUACUAAACUGCCACUGACAUUGAUGCUCGAAAGUGUGGGUAUCAAACAGGAUUAGAUACCCUGGUAGUC
rnacentral:rRNA from 1 species